AGAGUUUGAUCCUGGCUCAGGACGAACGCUGGCGGCGUGCUUAACACAUGCAAGUCGAGCGCAUGUCUUCGGACAUGAGCGGCAGACGGGUGAGUAACGCGUGGGAACGUACCCUUCAGUUCGGAAUAACCCAGGGAAACUUGGGCUAAUACCGGAUACGUCCGUAAGGAGAAAGGUUUACUGCUGAAGGAUCGGCCCGCGUCGGAUUAGCUAGUUGGUGGGGUAAUUGCCCACCAAGGCAACGAUCCGUAGCUGGUCUGAGAGGAUGAUCAGCCACACUGGGACUGAGACACGGCCCAGACUCCUACGGGAGGCAGCAGUGGGGAAUAUUGGACAAUGGGCGCAAGCCUGAUCCAGCCAUGCCGCGUGAGUGAAGAAGGCCCUAGGGUUGUAAAGCUCUUUCAGCGGGGACGAUAAUGACGGUACCCGCAGAAGAAGCCCCGGCUAACUUCGUGCCAGCAGCCGCGGUAAUACGAAGGGGGCUAGCGUUGUUCGGAAUUACUGGGCGUAAAGCGCGCGUAGGCGGAUAUUUAAGUCAGGGGUGAAAUCCCAGGGCUCAACCCUGGAACUGCCUUUGAUACUGGAUGUCUGGAGUUCGGGAGAGGUGAGUGGAAUUCCGAGUGUAGAGGUGAAAUUCGUAGAUAUUCGGAGGAACACCAGAAGCGAAGGCGGCUCACUGGCCCGAUACUGACGCUGAGGCGCGAAAGCGUGGGGAGCAAACAGGAUUAGAUACCCUAGUAGUCC
rnacentral:rRNA from 1 species